AGAUUGAAGUGAUUAUUUUUUGCUUCGAUAAGUUCUUCUUGCUGAAGCGAACAAAGCUUCAUCAAUGCCCAUGAACUAGGAGCUGAUUGGCUUCUAAAGAGGCAUCAAACAUUAAAAACAAUACAAUUUUCCCUUUGCCUGUCGAGAUUUUAAUGCCUGCUAUGCAAUCUGCACAUAAUGUAUGGUUAAGAAACUUAAUUGAUCUGAUUUUGUUCCUCUUGAUGGCCUUUUCAAAGUAUAACUUGUCCUGUCAGGAGACAAAUCCUUAACACAUGAAUUGUUUAAAAGGUAUUAUAAGACACCAAAUUUCGAGCAAAAUCGAGAUGUUAGACUUGAAGAUGUCGAUACUGCAUCCAGUGGGUGUCUUUUUUCCUAUUGCGAUUGAACUACAUCAUGGUACCCCAACAUUAUUCUGUUAUUGAUGUCUUCGUCCAGAUUUUGGGUGUUUCUAAGCUGGGCCAUGUUUGCAUGCUGACUAACACAUGCGACACUGCUAAGAGAGUUACCGCUCUUAGAGAUGACAGUUUCAAUGCACAUGAUAUAUGUGGACAAAUGGACUGGCAUGGUAUGUAACAACUGCCUAUUUUCUGUGGCUGGAGAAUACAAAUACAGUAAUAAUUAUUUUGCUCUGAUCACUUAGUC